rnacentral:rRNA from 1 species
GAGUGAACGCUGGCGGUAGACCUAACACAUGCAAGUCGAACGGCAGCACAGUAAGAGCUUGCUCUUACGGGUGGCGAGUGGCGGACGGGUGAGGAAUACAUCGGAAUCUACUUUUUCGUGGGGGAUAACGUAGGGAAACUUACGCUAAUACCGCAUACGACCUACGGGUGAAAGCAGGGGAUCUUCGGACCUUGCGCGAUUGAAUGAGCCGAUGUCGGAUUAGCUAGUUGGCGGGGUAAAGGCCCACCAAGGCGACGAUCCGUAGCUGGUCUGAGAGGAUGAUCAGCCACACUGGAACUGAGACACGGUCCAGACUCCUACGGGAGGCAGCAGUGGGGAAUAUUGGACAAUGGGCGCAAGCCUGAUCCAGCCACACCGCGUGGGUGAAGAAGGCCUUCGGGUUGUAAAGCCCUUUUGUUGGGAAAGAAAAGCAGCAGGUUAAUACCCCGCUGUUCUGACGGUACCCAAAGAAUAAGCACCGGCUAACUUCGUG